UACGUAGGGUGCGAGCGUUGUCCGGAAUUACUGGGCGUAAAGAGCUCGUAGGUGGUUUGUCGCGUUGUUCGUGAAAACUCACAGCUCAACUGUGGGCGUGCGGCGAUACGGGCAGACUAGAGGUACUGCAGGGAGACUGGAAUUCCUGGUGUAGCGGUGGAAUGCGCAGAUAGUCAGGAGGAACACCGGUGGCGAAGGCGGGUCUCUGGGCAGUAACUGACGCUGGAGGAGCGAAAGCGUGGGAGCGAACAGG
rnacentral:rRNA from 1 species